UUUGAAGGUUAAAAGUGCUAGCGAAAAAACUUCAAGGUUUAAAGUGCUAGUAAGUGACACUUUCAAGGUUUUUUAUGCGAUUUUCCCUUAAAACUUUUAAAAAACAAUAAAAUAGUUAUCAUUUCAUUUUGGUCAAAAGUAUUUGUUUUUGGAGUUUGUUCGUCGAACUUUAAACACAUAAUUAUUUGCUUUGGCAAUACAUACCGACAUAUAAUAGCAUAAUAAAAAUACCAAAAUGAAAAGAUUGCUGGCAGAAAAACAAAGAAAAGUUGAGAGAGAGAUAUCGAAGAGAAGAAAGAGAAUUGGUUACAGCCCAGCCCUCAUAGGCUAAAAGUUUAAAUACUAAACUGAUAAUUAGCGGGCCAAUGUUAAGCAACUCAAUUAUGAUGUUUGAUUUGCCAAAUUAAUAAUUGAUUUUCAAUCAUAAACGGGUCUUUAUUCAAAAAGGCGUUAGAGAAUCGUGAAAUUAUCAGACUGUUCAAUGUUUUGGCAAUCCAUAGUGAAAAUAUAAUGUUGAGAUUUUCCUAAAGGUUAUUAUAAUUUAAUUUGCAGUGACAUUCACGAAGAUAUUACAUGAGAUUUGGAAUUUGUAUAAUUUUAAUGAGAUUUGAUCUGUGUAUAAUUUAGCAAAUGUUUCUAGAACAUCCCAAAAUCAUUUAAACUGCUUACAUUAUUCUUGUUAAAAAUUAUGAAAAAAUAACACAUUAUUUAAAAUUAUUAGAUAGUAUAUGAAAUGGUGUUGUGGUUAUAUCCAAAGUUGGAUCCCGAACCAUUGUCGUGUGUUUGGUUUGUUUCGUAUUAAUGUUUCAUUUCGACAAUUGGAUUCGUCAAAAGAUAAGUGGUUCCCCACGACCAUGUGAUCAGUUAAAGUAGAUGGAGCUAGAACCGUGAAAGUUAAAAGAAAAAAACAGUAAAAAUGUACAUAACAAAGAAGCCAUAUGGAUAUGGCGUAGUAAAAACAAUCGUCGAAGACACGCAAACCUCGAGUUCGUUACUUCACUUUAGAGGAACAUACUAUAUGAAAUUAAAUUAUAUCAAAAUUUAUGUGGUCAUCAUAAGUUUUGGUAAUUGAUUAAAAAUGCAAGUUAUCUUCGUUGAGAUGAGAUUGGAUCCUCGACACAUACUGCACGUGAAUAUUUUAUUUCAUUUUAAUGUAAAAAUUGGAACCAGAUAAACUGGUUUAUACAUAAUUCCUUAUUGGAAUAAUACAUAUAAAAUCUUUCCAUCUCAAAACCUUGAAUUGUGUACACACUAAUUUAUCUGAUUCCAGCUUUUAAUAACUAACAUGUGGAUACAAUAUAAAGAUAGUAACUUUUACACUACUGGAUACUGGUACAGUGGUACUAUCUAACCAGAUGAAAUCCAUUGUCAAAAAGUAUGUUAUGUAUGAGUUGUAUUUAGAAACUUACAAAUUAUGUUUAGAAACUAACAUAUUAAGUAUGUUUAGAAACUAGUCAUUUUCAGUUUCUCUAAAUCUCAGUUAAAUUUACUUUUAAAUUAUACGAAAUAUAUCUAUAUUAUCAUGUUAGACUUUGGUUUAUAUGGCACUAUGGCAGUGUAGAGUUAACAUCUAUGAGCACAUGUGAGGAUUGUUUCCACAAAAAUGUCGUUUACUUCGAACACAUCAUGUGUCAUGUCAUAUUAUUUUUCGAUUCCAAAAAUUAUUAAAUUAUUAUUCCUCAAUUUUUUUUCUUUGGAUAAUAUAUUGACUUCUUUAUGGUCGACUUAACUACAGAACCAUGCAUGAGAGUAACCGUCAGAGAAUAGGCUUUGAUUGGUGACUGAUGUGUCAUUGAUUAAGUUUGAGUUAGAAGCAUAACUCAAAAAAUGUUAGCAAUCAUGAAUUAGACUCCGAUUGGUGACAUGUUAUAUUAGAGUUGAUUUAUAAUAAAAGUUACAAUUCGAUGUAACUCGCUGUAAAAAUUAUGUGGUAGAAACUGUAGAUUUAUGUAGUGAGUUCGCUGUCAAAAUAUGAGUUACUAAUUUUUAAAAAUAGUUGACUGGUAAUAUUUUUGAUGUAUAAAUUGUAGUAGUUUAUUUAAAAUAUAAUUUUAUAAAUGCUAACAAUGAUAACAUUUAUCAUGAAUUUAGUAAAUUAGACUGAAAAUAUAAAAUAUAUAAUAAAAAUUAAAUAAAUAUACUUAAACAUGUAUAUAUAUACACAUUAUAGCAAAGAUAUUUAUAUAUUCACGUAAUUUCAUAUAUAAAAUUUCUAGUUACUAAACAUAGUUAACAGUUAAAAUUAAAGAAAUAAUUUUGUUUGAAUAAUAAUCCAAAUCAAAUAAGAAAAUUUAUAAAAAUCUUUGACUAACUAAUAAAUACUUACGUGAUUUUAUUUUUUGAAAAUGGUUUAGUAACUCAAGGAAAGUAAACGUGAUAAAUAAUUUCUCUGCAAUUCAAAUAGUAAAGUGUUAAAAAAAAGUAAAAGUAACCGUAAGGUAAUUGACAGAAAGCAAAAUAACUACUACCUCAACUCUAAUACACACGAUUUUGGUUGAUGUUGAUUAAGUAUUUGAGUUACCAAUUUUACAAAAGAGAUAACUCAAAAUUGUACCUCAAAUAUAACACAUUAUAACUCAAACAUAAACUCAAAAAAUAAAAAACAAAUCAUGAUUGGUGACAUUUUUGAGUUAUAACCACAAAUCAAACUUAAUCAAUAGUAACUCAUGUCACUAAUCAAAGCCUUAGUUUUAGAUUUUUGAGUUACUAUUUGAUGUAUAAUGUAUUAGGUUUGAGUUACAAUUUUGAGGUAUUCCUUUGGUAAAAUUGAUAAAUCAAGUGGUAAUUCAACAUCAAGAAAAAUACCAUGUGUUAAGAUUUGAGUUGGUAUGUUUUUUUGGUUUUCAACUAAAAACCCCACGUUCACUUGUUGCUAUAUUAAACAACUUGUUUUCUAAAUUCAUUUAAUAGUUGUCUAUUUUUAUUCACGUAAUUAUUUAAACAUUUUUUAUAUUUUAACUAUUAUUUAUAUUUAAUACUAACAUUAUAACAUAAUUUACUUAUAUGGAUGCCUUCUAUAAUAUAUAAUAAAUAGAUUUAAAUAUCUUACUUAUAUUUAAAUUAAUUGAUAUUUAUUUAUAUAAUCUUUUAUUAAUUUUUAAUAAAUAUUUUUAUUAUUUAUAAUUUUUUUGUAGAACAAAUUAUACAUAAAAUGAUAAUCAAUUAUUAUUAAAAUAGUAAUUCACAGUUUUGUGCAAACUUAUUAUAUGAAUAACAUAUAAAUAUGUGGACACCCUGUUUUAUAAUAACUAUGGUGAUGAUUGUUUUACUAGUUUUUGGAUUUUGGUUUCCGGUUUUUAGAUUUUAGUUUUUGAGUUUUUUGCUUUUGCAGUAGAUUUUAGUUUUUUGAAAAGCAUGAUUGGUUGUUUUAGAUUUUGGUUUUAGCUUUGGAUUUUUUUUUUAAAUUAAUAAAAUAAAAAUAUUAGUAAAAUUUUAUUUAAUAAUAUAAUAAUAAUAAUAAUAAUAAUAAUACCGUCAUCAAAAGAAAUAUAAAUAGUUUAAUAAAAUUGUUUAAAAAAAUAUAAAUACAAAAUAAAACUAUCGUAAUUCAUACAUAGAUACAUAAAUUUGAUAAUUCAUAUAUUUAUGUCAUAAAUCUUUUUUAAAUUAAAAUUAAUUCUAUGUGUAGGCAUAAUUUUUAUAUGUGAGUAUUUUUUUUCUUUUGUUGAACUAUUGUAUAUAAGGGUAAUAGCUAAAUUUUGUAAACACAAAAAUAAAUUAAAGUGUAACAAAUUUGCAAUAUAGAGACUUAAACAAUUUAAUUAAUUUGCUGUAACAUUUAUGUCAAAAAAAAACAUAACUAAAAUUAUUGAAUUUUUUUAAAAAAGAAAAUUUUUUUUUGGUCGUAGGGGAAAACCAAGAGAAUUUUGAUUUAUUUUUUAAGGAAAAUUAAAUUAUCAACAAAACAUAUAAAAUUUGCAUAAAAAUAAAUUUAAAUAACUAAUUUUAUAGACAAGUUUUAAAAUUGUUCUUAAUAGAACUUACUUUUGUGUUAUCAAUACAAUAUUAAAAGGGAUAUAUGAGCCUCAUCUAGGCUGUCCACGUCAUCAUAAAAAAUCAUCCAAUCAGGUUUUAACGUUUUGCCACAUAAUCAAGUGAUUUUUGAUAUUGGGCUUAAAUUUUUUUUAUGAGCCGGCAUGUUAAGCUGAAUGGUCCAGGAAAUCCAUUUAUUGAAAACAUCGUGACCUAAAGCAUUUCACGUAUGCAUUUCAUAAAGACAUGGGCCCCAUAGUUCUCGGUUUGGUUUGGUGAUUGUGUUAUGGCGUUUGGUUUUUAAGUUACGCGUCGGUUCAAUUAAUAUUUGGUUAAGUCAUCAAACACAGCGUUUUGUGUUUAAGUAGAUUAGGAUCUCUCUUAUUGUUCUCAGACUCUUGACCUUUGUAGUCUACGUUCAGUUUCUAUGCAAACACGAAACUUUUCUUCUACAAACUCUUAAUCUUCCCUUAUCGUUCAACGUAUUCUCUUGAUUUACCAAUUAAUGUUUUCGUAGUUUAACUCAGAAGCGAUGUCUUCCACUCCGUUUCAUUCAAGUCAAACCUAUAAAAUGGAGAGGGUCAAGGGUUGGCUGAAUCUUCACAAGACUCAGUAAAUUAAAUUACGAGGUUUCCGCUAUAUUUUAGGACUGAUGGCGUUUCACUCGAUAAAUUCUCUUCACAAAUUAACUCGAAUCACUUCUGCAGCCGGUUCUUCUGUUUGCAGCCAUGGUGAAGAACCUGAUAACCAGACCAAAUAUAAAGCUCCUUCUCAGUACCAUUUUCACUCUUUUAUAUUCGAUUUGUUGAUUAUUUUUUCAUAUCAGGAGUAUAUUUGAUUGCUGCCUGACAUAAGACCGGGGGUUGAUAUAAAAGUUAUAAGUUUGAGAACAAUCUUCUGAAAGAUAAAUUUAGAAACCGUUUAUGCUUCUGUUCUUUAGCUCAUGUUCAUAGUGUUCUCCUCUUCUUAACUCAUGUUCAUAUUGUUCUGAAACUCAAAAGUCAACAUUAUCAAGCUGUUAUAUUCGGAUCUUUAUUGAAAUCUUUUGAAUGAUUAAUGUAGACUUAAAAUAAAUGUGCAAAAAAAUAUUUUUUUGAACAAGUAUACAGUAAUAAAAGCGAUGUAUGGAGCUUGGGUUUAGUAAUGCUUGAAUUGCGCAGCAGGAAUCAUAUCCACCUCAGCUGAAGAGGAAACAUGGAGCAGUCUUCUCGAGUUCAUGGAAGCUAUUGAUGACCGCCCACCGCCCACUCUUCUUCCUUCAGAAAGUUUCUCCUUUUGCAAAAGGACCCAGUCGAAGCUCUGCAAAGGAUCUAAUGGUUUGUUGAAAUCACCAUCCUUGAAAAUCAUCUCAGGAACAUCCUUUCUUGAAGAAGUACGACGACAACUCUGGGACAAAUCUGGCAUCAUACUUCAGAGAUGCAUGGUCUCUGUUUGCAACGCUUAAGAAUCUGUCUGGUUAGUUCUCCGUUUAGGCUCCAGGAAGAUAUCAUAUUAUCAUCAUCAUCUGGUUGUUACUAUUAUUAUCUGAGGUUUCUUUGUUUUAAACCACCAGUAAAAAAAAUAUCCUGAUCAUAUAGAUUUGUGCUAAUGUUGUAUUUAAAGAUUAAAGGAUAUAUGAGCAUCAUGGGACUGAUUAGUGAGUUAUAUUUUUUUGACUAUUUCAAGAUUCAGCAUCUUUAGUGUUUUUUCCAAUGUUUCAAUUUGUAUAAUCAACUCACCUUUGCUUACAUGUUGUGUUGGUUUAUGUAGUUCAUAUUUACGGAUGUUAUUUUCAGUAAGUCAAUGUGAAUACGUUGUUUACAAUUUUAUAAGAAAAGGAGUCGUACAAAUAUUUUGACGACUGUUUCUGUCUCUCAAAACAUAUUUUAAGAGUCUCUGUGAUUCGUUAAAACGUAUAUAUUUCAUAAAGUAGAUUAUAUUACACUCAUAUUACUCAAUUAGUAUAUCUGUCAACCAUGAUAAGCUUAUUAUACUAUUCAACCAAAACUGAAAUAAAUAAUAAAGAAAAAGAAAAAUCUUAUUUGGCUGCGAGCCCUUCUGAACACGGGUAGUGCUUAGACCUGCUGUGCUAACAUUCCACAUAUUUCUUUUUUUUUUUUGAAUAAUACCAUUAUGUUAUACACGUCUUUGAAAAAGAAAUUUAUCGCACAAGAAAUUGGCCAUAACUGCAGGAAACUUCAAGUUUAAGGUUUGUGUGUAUAGCUAAGUUCUCUCUUUCUCUCUUAAGAGAUUCUUAUGAAUCAUCGGUAAGAAGAAGAAGAAGCAUUUCGUGUUUUCCUAAAAUUUUAGUAAAUCACUGACUUGAAAGCCGAAUGACUAAAAUAUGACUCUACAGAUCAGUGCUUGGACUGCAGAAACCAAAAAAACACAGUUUGAGGAAAAUACCCGGAAUUUAGAAGAUGGGUUAUGUUUAGCGGAGAUAUUCUUAUGAAUCAUCGGUAAGAAGAAGAAGCAUUUCGUGAUUCUUAUGAUCUCAGUAGAUAGAGAGAUAUUGAGUUGACGGAGUUAAAGUCGUUGUGUAAACAGGUUGAAUCGAAUUCUGCAACCCAUGAGCUGAUUAAUGUUAGGAUACUCACAUUGUUGACAUAAUCAUCAAAGCCAAAACAUAUUUGCAUAAUUAAUUAGAAAAGAUUAAGCAUAUUUAUAAUUAUAUUUUCCAGAGUUUGGUGCAAGAUAUUUCAAAACAAAAAUUUCAUUAAAAUAUGAAUAUAACCUAAUAAUUAGUUAAUUUAAAAAAAAUAUAAGAUACAUUUUAAAAGAAAAGUCAAGUUUUUAAAAUUAAAUAGGGACUGAACUACCAUCUAAUAAAUAGAUUAUAGUACUGCAUUAUGAGGAAAUGAGCAGAGAAGCUUGUUACUCACCAUUUUAGCUCAAUUAAAUAUAAUUAUAUUUUUGGAAUCAAAAUAAUAAAAAAAGAGGAAUUUAUAUGAGAACCCACAACGAUAAAAUCUAUUUGUAAUUAAAGCUAAAUGUUUUUAAAAUCUACAUAAAUAAAUUAUUAACAAAUAAAAUAAUUAAAAUUUGGUGAAAUACAUAACGUAACCAAUAAUACUUAAUAUAACAAAAUCUUAUACAUAAAAAUAAGGUAAAAAUAAAAUAAUUGAAUCCAACAACUUAUUGCUUAUUUUACAUUUCAUUACAGGAAGGUCACCAAAAAUUUUAAAAUACUGAAUUUUACUGUUUUUAAUCAUUAAACUCAAGCUGAAGAAAACUUAUAAAAUAUCGAGGGAAACCACGAAAAAUACAUAACCAGAAUAUAUAUUUUAAUAAAUAAUUUUUAAGAAAAAAAUAUAACACAAAAAAUUAAAAAGCAAAAAA